AGCAGUAGCCGCGGGAAUACGUAGGUCCCGAGCGUUGUCCGGAUCUAUUGGGCGUAAAGCGAGCGCAGGCGGUUAGAUAAGUCUGAAGUUAAAGGCUGUGGCUUAACCAUAGUACGCUUUGGAAACUGUUUAACUUGAGUGCAAGAGGGGAGAGUGGAAUUCCAUGUGUAGCGGUGAAAUGCGUAGAUAUAUGGAGGAACACCGGAGGCGAAAGCGGCUCUCUGGCUUGUAACUGACGCUGAGGCUCGAAAGCGUGGGGAGCAAACAGGAUUAGAGACCCGCGUAGUCCCUGUCUCUUAUACA
rnacentral:rRNA from 1 species